AAUAUUAAAGUAUAUAUAAAAAUACGGAAAAAAUUAAGUUUUCCUCGUAUCAGUGAUUUCAAUUAAAGGUUAUAAGUGGACAGCAAGGCCAGUGUUUUUUUUACUAAUUUAUUGUAUUAUACUUCAUCUUAUUUAUGAAACCUCACAGGACCAUUCCUUUUCACACCCUGUUCUCCAUAUUUCUCUAUAUGCUGUCUUUUCUUCCUUUUUCAAACAGUAAUUCCACAUAUUUCUAUAUUAAAUCUUCCCUUCUUGUUUAUCGUCUACCCAGUGGUUUUUUUCCACGUGAAUUUUGAUCUAUCGCUAAAUUCUCCAAGCAUGCCCCGCCCAAUGUAGUUUUCACUUUCUUAUUGCAUUCCGACAUUCAUUAUAUUUGUAUUCUGGAAUAAAGACUCUGGUACUGCAUUUUUGCUCCUUCUCUAUUGUUCACAAUUAUCCUUUAAUGGGUAGACAAUUUUUCUUUUCAAUGCUAAGAAAUUUUCUAGUCUAAUUUAUUUUAUAAACCAUGUUCCCUCCCUGUACAAGUUAAACUAUAAAUCAAAAUAAUAUAUAAUACAUUUUUUUUAAUUCUUUAGAUAAUGAUCGAGGUUUAAAUACCAAGCAAUAAAAACAUUUAUCACAGUUUACUA